CCCAGUGUAAAAUAGUGCUCUCCCGUCCUUGGUCUAGCCCACCUGAAUUCAGCUGUUUCCCUGUCAGUGUCCUCUGCUUUCACUGAGAGCUAUGACAGAGUUGUCUUGAUGCUGCUGCAGAGAAAUUCACUUUAUUUUUUACUUUGUAUUUAUGAUUAACUAAUAUUAAUUCUAAUAUUUUCUAUGGUUUUUAAAUUUUUCUGUGGAGACAUUCCUAUAAUCUAUGAAUAAUAAGAGUUAUACGUUUUCUUUUUCUUUUUGUACUCCAGUGUUAAAUAUUUAAUAGAAAUAAUGAGAGAAAGCAUCCUUAUUUUAUUGCUAAUUAAUAUUAAAGAGAAUGUCCCAUAUUUCACCAGGAACUAUCAUGCUAGUUGUAGUUUUCCACAUUCGGGAACUCCUUUUCUGUUCCAUGUUUGCUCAGAGUUCUUAUGUCUCAGUGUGGUUGGAUUUUAUCACUGCCUUUUCACCGUCUCUUGAGGUGAACCUAUGUCUUUUCUUCCUUAACCUACACAUGUGGUGAAUUAAAUUAUUAAACCUUUAAUGUUCACUCAAGCUUGCAUCCUUUAAAUAAACCCCCUUGAUUAUGGCGUAUUACCCGCUUUAUACCUUGCUGGAUUUCUUUGCCAGCAUUUUAUGUAGGUUUUUGCAUCUCAAUUGCUUAGUGUGCUUGUCCUGUAACUCCCCUUGUACCUUCCUUUUCUAAUUUGGUAUCAAUAUUAAAGUAGCCUUAGGGAACAAGUUGGGAAGCAUCUCAUAGUUUUCUCUUCUUUAUUGACUGUGUACAAGAUUGAAAUGAUCUGUUUUUUGCAUGUUUGCUGGAACCUGCCUGAAAGUGAUCUACCAAACCCAAAACCAGUUGGUCAUUGAGUUGAUUCCAUCUUUGUAGGGAGAUCUUGAACUACUGACCCAUUUUGUGUAGUGAUUAAAGGCCUCUUCUGAUGCUACUUUACUUAGAAAAAUUUCCACUGCAUGUUUUAGGCUGUUAGGAUUUCAUCUUUAAAUAUUAUGUGGUUAUCUCUGUUUUCUACCUCAUCCAGGUCAAUUAAUCCCAGAUUUUCCAUUUUCCUGAACUGAGAGUGUAUAUCUACUCCUGGUACCAAUUCCCUAAUCUAAGGCUUAUUUGCAAAGAAAGAUACAACCCAGCCUCCUUGACUCCAUAAUGUGAGGUUACAGUGUCAUAUUAUGUCAUUUUUUUGUAGUUGUUUUUCUGUUUUGUUAUUUUUUUCUUUUAUAUAUUAUGUAAUUUUUCUUUUUCUUAAAAUUUUUUUAUUUACUUUUUUUUUCUUUUUUCAUUUCACACCUAUCUAGCAGUUUUAGGAAACCUGGUGGAGUAGUGGUUAAAAGCUACAGCUGGUAACUAAAAGGUUGGCAGUUCAAGUCCACCGGGCGCUCCUUGGGAACCCUAUAGGGCAGUUCUACUCUGUCCUUUAUGGUCCCUAUGAGUCAGGAUGGAUUAGACAACAACAACUUGUUGGUUCUAGUGGUUUUAAGGUUGUGCAUUUCAGGUUCAGGUCUUUAAUCUAGCUGAGAACCGACUCCAGGUUCAGUGCGGUGAGGUGCCCAGUUGCAUCUGUGCUUCAAGAGAAGGCGCCUCGAGAACUAGGGGAGGGGGUGGCAGGGAUGCUCAGAGAAGGGCACCCGGGGGAGGUGCGGGGUCCUGGGCAGCCCUACCACAAGCUGGUGGGGAGCAGGAAACACCUGGCUUCAGGAGCCUUCUGUGACAGUCCCAGCCCACCCAUCCCCACCCACACCUCAGACUGGCCAGACUGGCAGGUCCCAACAGAACUCGGGGAAGCCUAAGGCCAUAGAGGGCGAGACCCAGGGUACAUACCUGAGCCUGAUCACAGCGCAUGUGAUGAGAUAGGAGGGCAGAGGAGGUAUAUAGGCACUUGGGUCCAGACAGUGGACACAGAAGGGUGAGAACUGGUGGUUAGCAUCAGGAUCCGAACGUGGAGGCCUUCGAGAUGCACUUCCAGGAGGAGAAGGCAAAGCCACAGAGGCCACACUGCCUGGCACCCACCCCGUCCCCUUCCCAGGGCCCCAGACUGGACUCACCGCCUGUGGUGCCCUAGGAGAGCUCCCCUCUUAGUUUGAGGAGCAAGAGAGCUCGCCCUGGUCUAGGCUAGGGAAUUUACUUCCUCUGCUCUCAUCAUGGGUGUGAGCGGACUCUUGUCUGCACAGACAAAAGAUGAAUUAUCAAAAUGAGCUCAAGACUCCAGAUUUGACUUAGAUAUCAUAAAUUAAAACAGAGAAAUACAAGUUUAGCAAUAAGUGCCUCCCUGGAGCCCAAGUUGCAUUAAAAAACAAAAAAACCUGAACAAGAUCCAAGAGGGAGUGAGUGAUUGGAGCCUCCUUCUUUUGCCACCCUCCUGUGGUCCCAAGCUUUCUCUUUUCCCACCUCACAAGACUGUAUCAACUGCUCUGAGAUUUUUAGAAUAAAGAUACCCAGGAAUAUCACUGCUCCCACCCUGUGAGGAUUUCCCCAGUGCUCGGUUAGACUAAGACUGAGAAUCCUCCAGAGGCUUCCGGGUCCUGUGUACUGGACAGUCAACACACCGAGGUUCUGAGCCACUUCAUUUUUCCUGCAAUUGGGCAUGACCCCAGGACAUGUCUCUGAGAGUGCUGACACUUCGAGAAGCCAAUGACCCUCUCACUGAGUUUCUGUCUGUCUUGGUCUCAAGAUCAGUCAGGACAGCUUGUCACCUCAGGAGUGUUUCUGUUGAAGGAAACCUAAGCAGAACUAUGGGUUUGUCCCUCACACCCUGCAAACCUGCCUCCUCUGAGUGGGGCGAGGAGCUACUGAAACAUUGAAAUCAUUAAAACUAGCAGAAGCCACAGCCCAUGGUACUGGGAGAAAACUGGGAGGGAGAGAGAGGUGGAGAGGUAUAAAGACCCAGUUGUGAAGGCAACCAGCGGCCAAGAUGUCCGAAGCCACAAAGCUGACAGAAGCUGAAUGGCCUCAAACCUGGUGCUCCUGAGCCCAUUUCUUCUUUCAAUGGAAAAAGCCUUCCCCUGCUCUUAUGCGACUGGGCUGGAAGGGCCUUUGACUUAUAACAUGAAGCAGCCUCCAGAGCCUCUUGGGGCAAGUGAUGGUCAAGGAGGCUCUGCCCAAUCCCACCCUGCCCUUCCCAGUUGUCAGAGGACCAGGAAUUUCAGUCUUCUAGCUCCUGGGCUGAUCUAGUGACUUGUAACAGGAUUUCACUGGACCUCGGAACUUUGAAAGAUGGGAAAUACUGCCUGGGUCCUGGUCUCAUUACAGAACUUACAUACAGGAUAAGAAGAGUAGUUUGGGGCUUGACACCUGACAUCUCAGCAAAGGUUUCUGUUUGUUUAGGAGGGAAGAGGUAAAAAGAAGGCAGUGUCUACUAUGUUCUUUUCCGGGUGUUUAGGAAAUUCUCACGAAGACUUUCUCAGCUGAAAUUCCAAGUCUGCCUCCUGAAGCACUUCCAUUAGCGUCUCAUUUGGGAGAAGCCUGGUGGCGAUGAAUUCUCUCAGUUUUCCUUCGCUAAGAAUGGCACUAUUUUUUCUUUACUCCUGAAGGUAAGGAUUGGAUAUAGAAAUCUGGGGUAAUGUUUCUGAUCUUUCAGUGUUGAAAAAAUGUUUUUUCACAACAUUUCAGCCUCUGUGGUUUUCUGAUAAUGAAGAAAGAGUCAGUGAAAUUAUUUUUCCCAUGUGAAAUGUAUUGUUUUCUCUCUAGCUUCUUCCUGGGUAUUUUCUUGAUCUUUGUUAUUCUGCAGUUGAUUAUGAUGUACUGUAUUUUUGUGCAAAUAAUGCACACAUUAUAGAUAUUUUUUGCCAACUGAGCCUUCCCCUUCCCGGGUACUCUUAUGAGAAUGGUGCCUAAUUUUA